rnacentral:rRNA from 1 species
UGGGGGAUUUUCCGCAAUGGGCGAAAGCCUGACGGGGCAAGACCGCGUGAGGGAGGAAGGCCCUUGGGUUGUAAACCUCUUUUCUCAGGGAAGAAGAAAGUGACGGUACCUGAGGAAUCAGCCUCGGCUAACUCCGUGCCAGCAGCCGCGGUAAUACGGAGGAGGCAAGCGUUAUCCGGAAUUAUUGGGCGUAAAGCGUCCGCAGGUGGUUUUUCAAGUCCGCUGUCAAAGACCGGAGCUUAACUCCGGAGAGGCAGUAGAAACUGAGAGACUAGAGUUCGGUAGGGGUAGAGGGAAUUCCCAGUGUAGCGGUGAAAUGCGUAGAGAUUGGGAAGAACACCAGUGGCGAAGGCGCUCGACUGGGCCGUAACUGACACUCAGGGACGAAAGCUAGGGUAGCGAAAGGGAUUAGAUACCCCCGUAGUCC